rnacentral:rRNA from 1 species
UACAGAGGGGGCAAGCGUUGUUCGGAAUUACUGGGCGUAAAGGGCGCGUAGGCGGCCUUCUAAGUCGAACGUGAAAUCCCUGGGCUCAACCCAGGAACUGCGUCCGAUACUGGAAGGCUUGAAUCCGGGAGAGGGAUGCGGAAUUCCAGGUGUAGCGGUGAAAUGCGUAGAUAUCUGGAGGAACACCGGUGGCGAAGGCGGCAUCCUGGACCGGCAUUGACGCUGAGGCGCGAAAGCCAGGGGAGCAAACGGG